rnacentral:lncRNA from 1 species
GGGCGUGGGGCAGCUACGACGGGCUGCGAGCGGCGCCUCUGAGGAGCCCGGGCGCUUCGUGGCCUGGCAGUGUUUCUAAGGGGCUCCGGUGGCCGCGCGCUCUUUCUGCCUCGUCUUGUGGCUUCGACCCUCUCUAUCCAGGAGAAUCUUGGAGAUUCUGGCGCGCGCCCCGGUUCUGAGAAGACUCUGCUUCGGGAUUCUUUUCCCUGGCCCCCGUUCUGAGGAGGAUCUUCGGAAAUCUUGCCCCGACCCCUCUUCUGAGAGAGUUUGGGGGUUUCUUGCCCUGCCCGGUUUUCUGAGGACAAUUGCCGGGAUCACGAUUAUGUUGUAGAUUCGGGACCCCAGCUCUGUUUCCUAAGAAAACAUGGGAGUUCGGGAUCCCUAAGGAGCAUUUGGAGAAUCCAGGGUCCACCGCCUUUUCCGAGGAAUAUUUGGGGCACAUACACUCCUUUUCUAAGCACUCUUGGGGGCCGCUCUCCCUGUCCCUCCUUUAUCUGAGGAAAGUGAGGGCUGCGCGCCCCCCUCCACCUUCGUUUCUGAAGAUAUCUUGGGGAUUUUCUGCCUCCCCUGUUUUCUCACUACACGAGGAAUUUGGGACUUCAAGCACCUCGCCUCUCUCCAGAGAAGGAUGGCAGGAGAUGGGCGCCCCUCACCCCUUUACUAAGGAAAUGCGACCGGGCGCGGUGGCUCACGCCUGGAAUCCCAGCACUUUGGAAGGUUGAGACUGGAGGGUCGAUUGAGCCCAGGAGUUUCAGACCAGCCUGGGCAACAUGGCAAAAUCCUGUCUCUACAAAAAUUAAAAUCAAAAUGAAAAAAUCAGCAGGGGUGGUGGCGCACACCUGUAGUCCCAGCUACUCCGGAGGCUGAGGUGGGAGGAUCGUUUGAACCGAGAGGUCGAGGCUGCAGUGAGCCAAGAUCGUGCCACUGCACUCCAGCCUGGGCGACAGAGCGAGACCCUGUCUCAAAAAAAAGAAAAAAGAAAGUUAUCGGGCGCGGUGGCUCACGCUUGUAUCCCAGCACUUUGGGAAGCCGAGGUGGGCGGAUCACCUGAGGUCAGGAGUUCGAGACCAGUCUGGCCAAGAUGGUGAAACCCUGUCUUUACUAAAAAUACAAAAAUUAGCCGGGCGUGGUAGUGGGCGCCUAUAGUCCCAGCUACUCGGGAGGCUGAGGCAGGAGAACCGCUUGAACCUGGGAGGCAGGUUGCAGUGCGCCGAGAUCCACCACUGCACUCCAGCCUGGAUGACAGUGAGACUCCGUCUCAAAAAGAAAGAAAGAAAAAGAAAAAUGCGAGGGAGUUGUGCUCCAUGUGCUUUUCUAAGCAGCAUCUGAGUGUGGGAGGAAGGGGUCCCCUUUUCCUGAAACUUCGACUUUCUGACGCCUCAGCCCUAGGACAAUGCGGGGAGGAUUUGUGCUCAGAACCCUGGAAUAGCAGGACAGCGCCAAGGCCACACAGAGACUCACUCUGGACAGAGUGUGCCUAACUGCAGAUGGAGCCUGAACCCUGCGCUGCAGAAACACUGAGU